rnacentral:lncRNA from 1 species
CUGGAGUGCAGUGCGGUGAUCAUGGCUCACUGCAGCCUCGAACUCCUGGGCUCAAGAAAUCCUCUCUCCUUGGCCUCUCAAAAGUGCUAGAAUUACAGGCAUGAGCCACUGUGCCUGGCUACUGAUGUGCCUUUUCCUGAAGAGAUUAAAGUGGAGAGGAGGAAAGAGAAUAAGAAUGUGGAAGGAAGAAACGAAGUCCAUCUUCUAGGUUCUGUGUGAAGCCCGUUAGGAUGUAUAAAUGGAGAAGUCCAGCAAAUGGAAGUAACAAUGACCUACAGAUUGGAAACCACUGGCUGAAAGAAUUGGCACACCUGACAGAUGUUAGUUGGAAACAAGGUACAGGAAGAAAACACGAAAAAAGAUGGACAGCCACGUUCCCGUGAAGAAGGGUUUACUUCAGUGGUGUGCUAGAGCCAGCUUGCACCAGCUCACAAGAACCAACUGGGCACAUCUCCCCACAGUCCGGCAUUCACUGACUCCAGUUUGGUAGUUUAUUGUUGACCAU